GGAGAUUUGACUACAGAAGUAGGAGGUAUGAUGACAGAAGUAAGAGAUUAGAGUGUUGGGGAUGCAAGCCCAGGAAUGAUAAGUAAUACUAAGGAAUCCUGGCAGCCUCUAGAAGCUAGAAGAAGCAAAGAAUAGAUUCUCUCCUGGAGCCUCCAGAAGGAACCAACUGCGCAGGUGAAAUGAAGACUGUUCAGAGAAACACUGAAAGAAUUUUUUACCAAUGGACCUGUACUCAAAGAAACUCUGAAGUGAGUUCUUCAGGAAGAUGGAAAAUGAUCCAAGAGAGAGGCAUUGAAGUCCAGGAAGAAAUGGGGAGCAUUGUAAAGAACUAACUUGGGCAGCGGAGAGCCCAUUCUUCCUGGUGGUUAUCCCUGAAUUGAGGAUAACAUUGCUUCCCACACAUAGAGAAAGGGGCUGACAAUCUUCAUGUCAAUGGCAGGGGUUCUGUCUUAGAAGGGACCUUGGGUUGGACCCUCCAUACUGUUCUACAUGGAGUUUUCCAGGGAACUGCCAGACAGAGCAAAUAAUGACAGCGCUCUGGAAACAGGGUUUUGGAGGAUCUUCAGCCCCUUUCUGCCACCUCUGGGGGCUGCCAGGCUGCUGGUGUUCAAGUGACUGUGGAACAGCUGGUCUUCAAGGCUGCCAUGAAACCAAGGAAGGGGGAAUGGAAACAGAGCAAGUUAAAAUGCCACAAAGCUUAUUGUUUUUUACUGAUGAUAGUCAGCUCUUUUUCUUGAAUAAACUAUCUUUAGCCUGUUGCAAGCCUUUGGUUAAUUUCUAGAGCUGUAAAAAAGUUGAUUUUGACAAUGUUUUUGGCCACUGUUGGUGGUAGUAGUGUGGGUUAAUAGAUGUUUCAGGUGAACAAAUGCUAACAGAAUCUGAAAUAGUAUGGUUGUCUCCAGAUGGAAUGGACUGCCUUAGAAGAUAAUGAAUUCCCUGAUUUUCAAACAGAAGCUCAACAACACACGGCCAGGGGUAUUAUGGAGGGAUUCUAACAUCAGAAGAAUGGCUGGACUAGAUCAUGAUGUAUUUUAUUAUUAAAAUAUUGGAUUAUUUUAUUAUUAUUAAAUAUCUUAAAUAUCCACAAAGUAGAUAGUCCUGUUAUCUAGACCUUACUACGUUAGCUUCACCCAUGCCUUUUUCCUUUUCCUUUUUUGUUUUUCU
rnacentral:lncRNA from 1 species